UGAUACAUGUCUGUUUCUCCAGAGAGCCAGAGAGUGGAGGAGUUCAGUCUGUGGGGGUCUCAGCCGACCCGCCUCUAGCCACUGCCCUCAUGACCAAGGAAUACCAUGUUCCAGUGGUGGGCCAACCCCAGUCUGACAGUCACUUCCUGCAGAGGACAGGUCCUCCACCCAGGUCCAAUCCUCCCAGACUUUCUGAAGAACCAGUCCGUUGGGACAGGUACAG